rnacentral:lncRNA from 1 species
UUUUGCCAUUUCUUGGGCCGCUCCCGCGGCAUAUGGAGGUUCCCAGGCUAGGGGUCAAAUCAGAGCUACAGCUGCCCACCACAGCCACAAAGGCUCUGAGCCGCAUCUGCAACCUACACCACAGCUCACGGCAGCGCCGGAUCCUUAACCCACUGAGGAUCGAACCCGCAACCUCAUGGUUCCCAGUCAGAUUCGUUUCUGAUGCGCCACGACGGGAACUCCCCAAAUUAAUUCUUUUGCAUGUUGACAUUUAAUUGUCCCAGCAUCAUUUGCUGAAAAGACUAUUUUUCCCCAUUGAAUGAUCCUGGCAUCCUUGUCAAAACUCAGUUGAAGUAGGUGCUUCAGAUGUGGUGUUGCCGUGGCUGCGGCAUAGGAAUUUUCAUAUGCUGCACGAAUUUUCAUAUGCUGCAGGAAUUUUCAUAUGCUGCAGGUGUGGCCAUAAAAAGAAAAAAUACCUGUAAGGCUGACGCUCCAAAUGGCCUUGGGCUGCUCGCCUGCUGGUCACCAGCCACACGACACAAGUGCGACUCCAGCCACAGGGUGGGGCACCAGAGGCUGGAUUCCCCCAGAAGGCGGAGCUUGCGAUUAGUGUUCAGGUGGUUCCCUUUAGGCAGUAGUCCCAGGGACCAAGGCGGGGACUCGGGAGAGGGAGACACAGCAGGAAAACGAAUUCUAGCUUGAGUUGAUCACGGCUGUGCAACCUGGGGCUUGAUCCCGCUGAAGGCUUCUGACGAGCUCUGAAAAACCACUUCAAAGUUAUCUGCCCACAGACCAGAGGAGGGGAGCAUUGGCCCUCCCACACCCAUCCCCUUGGGUCCAGGGUUGUCACAGGAGGUGGUAACACCCUCACACUCCGGAAGCACCAACGUGAGUUCCAGGAGUUCCUCCAGAAGCCCUGAGAGGGUGAAUGAGAUGCCUGGAGGAGCUGAAGUGAGGUGCUGUGAAGCUGGCUCCCCAGCAGUGGCGGUGCCAAGAGGGCCAAGAGGGCAGGAGGUGAGCACAAGAGACAGCCACACAGUGAGUGAGGCAGCCACCCCCCGGCCUGAAGGGAGUAAUUGUCUUUUCACAGUGACGACAAGUGAUGACUACAGUCCUAGGAAAACAACCCGUCUCUGUUCUUUAUCUUUUGCUGACUCUCUCCCCAAACUGAGGGCCACAUACAAUCAGCCCCCCAACCCGUGGGUUCCACAUCCAUGGAACUGGAGGGCCAAAUGAACUACGUCAUUUGACAUAAGGGACUUGAGCAUCCAUGGGUUUUGUUACACACAGGGGCAGGGGUAUCCUGGAACCAAUCCCCCGAGGAUAACAAGAGGUGACCAUACAUGACUUCCCCUGAUUACAAGGACUGUAAUUUUUAAAACAGCAAAGGACAAACAAGGAGACUCCU